UGUGAGAGUUCAAGUGAACUACAGAAGGUGAAGUGAACUGUGAGAGUUCAAGUGAACUACAGGAGGUGAAGUGAACUGUGAGAGUUCAAGUGAACUACAGGAGGUGAAGUGAACUGUGAGAGGUCAAGUGAACUACAGAAGGUGAAGUGAACUGUGAGAGUUCAAGUGAACUACAGAAGGUGAAGUGAACUGUGAGAGUUCAAGUGAACUACAGGAGGUGAAGUGAACUGUGAGAGUUCAAGUGAACUACAGGAGGUGAAGUGAACUGUGAGAGUUCAAGUGAACUACAGAAGGUGAAGUGAACUGUGAGAGUUCAAGUGAACUACAGAAGGUGAAGUGAACUGUGAGAGUUCAAGUGAACUACAGGAGGUGAAGUGAACUGUGAGAGGUCAAGUGAACUACAGAAGGUGAAGUGAACUGUGAGAGUUCAAGUGAACUACAGGAGGUGAAGUGAACUGUGAGAGUUCAAGUGAACUACAGAAGGUGAAGUGAACUGUGAGAGUUCAAGUGAACUACUGAAGGUGA